GGGGGCGUGGCGAAACUGGUAUACGCAAGCGACUUAAAAUCGCUCGACUUCGGUCGUACGGGUUCGAGUCCCGUCGCCCCCA
rnacentral:tRNA from 2 species